UGGGGAAUAUUGCACAAUGGGCGCAAGCCUGAUGCAGCCAUGCCGCGUGUGUGAAGAAGGCCUUCGGGUUGUAAAGCACUUUCAGCGAGGAGGAAGGUGGUGAGCUUAAUACGCUCAUCAAUUGACGUUACUCGCAGAAGAAGCACCGGCUAACUCCGUGCCAGCAGCCGCGGUAAUACGGAGGGUGCAAGCGUUAAUCGGAAUUACUGGGCGUAAAGCGCACGCAGGCGGUUUGUUAAGUCAGAUGUGAAAUCCCCGGGCUCAACCUGGGAACUGCAUUUGAAACUGGCAAGCUAGAGUCUCGUAGAGGGGGGUAGAAUUCCAGGUGUAGCGGUGAAAUGCGUAGAGAUCUGGAGGAAUACCGGUGGCGAAGGCGGCCCCCUGGACGAAGACUGACGCUCAGGUGCGAAAGCGUGGGGCAGCAAACAGGAUUAGAUACCCUGGUAGUCCACGCUGUAAACGAUGUCGAUUUGGAGGUUGUGCCCCUUGAGGCGUGGCUUCCGGAGCUAACGCGUUAAAUCGACCG
rnacentral:rRNA from 1 species